CGCGGCCUAUCAGCUUGUUGGUGAGGUAAAGGCUCACCAAGGCAUUGACGGGUAGCUGGUCUGAGAGGACGAUCAGCCACACUGGGACUGAGACACGGCCCAGACUCCUGCGGGAGGCAGCAGUGGGGAAUCUUGCGCAAUGGGCGAAAGCCUGACGCAGCGACGCCGCGUGGGGGAUGAGGGCUCUCGGGUUGUAAACCCCUUUCAGCAGGGACGAAAUUGACGGUACCUGUAGAAGAAGCCCCGGCCAACUACGUGCCAGCAGCCGCGGUAACACGUAGGGGGCGAGCGUUGUCCGGAAUUAUUGGGCGUAAAGGGCUCGUAGGCGGUUCGGUAAGUCAGAUGUGAAAGGUUGGGGCUCAACCCUAAGACUGCAUUUGAUACUGCCGUGACUAGAGUCCGGUAGAGGAGUGUGGAAUUCCUGGUGUAGCGGUGAAAUGCGCAGAUAUCAGGAGGAACACCGACGGCGAAGGCAGCACUCUGGGCCGGUACUGACGCUGAGGAGCGAAAGCGUGGGUAGCAAACAGGAUUAGAUACCCUGGUAGUCCACGCCGUAAACGUUGGGCACUAGGUGUGGGACCUUAUCAACGGGUUCCGUGCCGUAGCUAACGCAUUAAGUGCCCCGCCUGGGGAGUACGG
rnacentral:rRNA from 1 species